AAAUUUAUUUAAUAAAAUUAAAAGGACGCGGUAACCUUGACCGUGAUAAUGUAGCAUAAUCAUUCGCCAUUUAAUUGAUGGAUAGUAUGAAUGGUUGAACGAAUAUUCCACUGUCUUAAAAAGAAAUUAACAAAAAUUAGAAUAAUAGUGAAGAUACUAUUUAAAAUUGUAAGACGAAAAGACCCUAUAGAGCUUAACUAUAAUCUUUCUUUUUAACAUUAAUAGAAAGAUUGGUAGUUUAGUUGGGGCGACUGUCUUUUAAAAUAAACAAAGACAAGCAAAAUUAACACUAAAAUUUAUUGUAUAAUUCAUAAAUUUAACAAUUACAAAAGUAGGCUAUAAUGACCCGUUAUCAUUUUAUAAAAAAAAAUAACGAUCAAUAAAUAAAAGCUACCUUAGGGAUAACAGGAUAAUUUUAUUCUAGAGAUCUAAUCGAAAAUAAAGUUUGUCACCUCUAUGUUGAAUUAAGAUAUCCUGACAAUGCAGAA
rnacentral:rRNA from 1 species